rnacentral:rRNA from 1 species
AUUCCCCUAGUAACUGCGAGUGAAGCGGGAAAAGCUCAAAUUUAAAAUCUGGCGGUCUCUGGCUGUCCGAGUUGUAAUCUAGAGAAGUGUUAUCCGCGCUGGACCGUGUACAAGUCUCCUGGAAUGGAGCGUCAUAGAGGGUGAGAAUCCCGUCUUUGACACGGACUGCCAGUGCUUUGUGAUGCGCUCUCAAAGAGUCGAGUUGUUUGGGAAUGCAGCUCAAAAUGGGUGGUAAAUUCCAUCUAAAGCUAAAUAUUGGCGAGAGACCGAUAGCGAACAAGUACCGUGAGGGAAAGAUGAAAAGAACUUUGGAAAGAGAGUUAAACAGUACGUGAAAUUGUUGAAAGGGAAACGCUUGAAGUCAGUCGCGUUGGCCAGGGAUCAACCUUGCUUUUGCUGGGUGUACUUUCUGGUUGAUGGGUCAGCAUCAAUUUUGACCGUUGGAUAAAGUCCAGGGGAAUGUGGCAUCUUCGGAUGUGUUAUAGCCCUUGGUCGCAUACAACGAUUGGGAUUGAGGAACUCAGCACGCCGCAAGGCCGAGAAUUUAUUCUACGUUCGUGCUUAAGAUGCUGGCAUA